GGAUUGCCCCAGUAACGGCGAGUGAAGCGGCAACAGCUCAAAUUUGAAAUCUGGCCCUCGGGUCCGAGUUGUAAUUUGUAGAGGAUGCUUUUGGCGAGGUGCCUUCCGAGUUCCCUGGAACGGGACGCCAUAGAGGGUGAGAGCCCCGUCUGGUCGGACACCGAGCCUCUGUAAAGCUCCUUCGACGAGUCGAGUAGUUUGGGAAUGCUGCUCAAAAUGGGAGGUAUAUGUCUUCUAAAGCUAAAUAUUGGCCAGAGACCGAUAGCGCACAAGUAGAGUGAUCGAAAGAUGAAAAGCACUUUGAAAAGAGGGUUAAAAAGUACGUGAAAUUGUUGAAAGGGAAGCGCCUAUGACCAGACUUGAGCCCGGUGAAUCAUCCAGCGUUCUCGCUGGUGCACUUUGCCGGGCCCAGGCCAGCAUCAGUUUGGCGCGGGGGAUAAAGGUGACGGGAAUGUGGCUCCCUCGGGAGUGUUAUAGCCCGCUACGUAAUACCCUGCGCCGGACUGAGGUACGCGCAUUGCAAGGAUGCUGGCGUAAUGGUCAUCAGCGACCCGUCUUGAAACACGGACCAAGGAGUCGUCUUCGUAUGCGAGUGUUCGGGUGUCAAACCCCUACGCGUAAUGAAAGUGAACGCAGGUGAGAGCUUCGGCGCAUCAUCGACCGAUCCUGAUGUUCUCGGAUGGAUUUGAGUAAGAGCAUACGGGGCCGGACCCGAAAGAAGGUGAACUAUGCCUGUAUAGGGUGAAGCCAGAGGAAACUCUGGUGGAGGCUCGCAGCGGUUCUGACGUGCGAAUCGAUCGUCAAAUAUGGGCAUGGGGGCGAAAGACUAAU
rnacentral:rRNA from 1 species